rnacentral:misc_RNA from 1 species
GAUGAAGAACGUAGCGAAAUGCGAUAAGUAAUGUGAAUUGCAGAAUUCAGUGAAUCAUCGAAUCUUUGAACGCACAUUGCGCCCGCUAGUAUUCUGGCGGGCAUGCCUGUCCGAGCGUCAAUUUAACCCUCAAGCCCCCGGGCUUGGUGUUGGGGAUCGGCGAGCCUCCGCGCCCGCCGUCCCCUAAAUCUAGUGGCGGUCUCGCUGUAGCUUCCUCUGCGUAGUAGCACACCUCGCACUGGGAAACAGCGCGGCCACGCCGUUAAACCCCCAACUUCUGAACGUUUGACCUCGGAUCAGGUAGGAAUACCCGCUGAACUUAAGCAUAUCAAUAAGCGGAGGA